rnacentral:rRNA from 1 species
AGAUUGAACUGAAGAGUUUGAUCCUGGCUCAGAUUGAACGCUGGCGGCAUGCCUUACACAUGCAAGUCGA